rnacentral:lncRNA from 1 species
ACCUCCUUUGAAAAUAGACAACCCUUCCUAAAAAAUCUGCAAACACACUUCUAAAAUCAUACUUCAACCUUGUACUCCUAGAGCCUUCAUGCUCUCUAAGUUUAUCACAUCUCACAAAAGAUCAAAUAUUAAUCCAAAAAAAUCCCACAACCAACAAUAAAGAUAUUCAAUAAUUUACUAACUGGAUUAUCAGAGCAUAUCUAAAACUGAAAGAAAAAUGAUGAAUAAAGAAUAAGCGGAAGCAGCCUCUGACUAUGCUUCGACUCCAUGUACGCUCGACCUCAAAUAAACUUUGCCUGCAAACUGGGCAUUUGAAACCGAAUGGCCCAGGGAAAAGUAAUUUAAAACGUUAGAGUGAGUGGACAAAAAUAAAUUAAAUAAUUUAACAAAAACGUAAUUUAACUACUUUCCCACGUUUAAACUUUAAAAACUUAGUUGCACGCAACUUUGAUCAUCCAAAUAACUUUAAAUCCAGAAACACAUAAGAAUAGACAAAUACUGAAAUCUCGUAAGAAAAGACAAACCAGCCCCGCUGGUUAAUUAAUUACAUAAAUGAGAAAAAUAAAUAAAAACAAGGGGAAGAGAUAUCACCAUGUAAGAGGAGCCUCCUAGGCUCUAGUAGCGUCUCACGUUAAGCGCUCGACUCACCUAUGGUGAGUACCGCUAAUAAAGGCUAGUUAGCAAUGAAUAAAAACCGAUCGAAGAUUCGGAGCCUCCCAGGCUAUAAUAGCGUCCAACGGUAAGCGCUCGACUCACCUAUGGUGAGGACCGCUAAAAAAGGCUAGCUAGUAAUGAAUAAGAGCGACCCUAGUAAGGUGACUAAAAAUAUAUGAAAUCACUUAAAUCCAUAAAACUUCCCUAGUAUCAUGCGAAUGGUACGGUUCCCAACCGUAAUUAGAAAUUAUCAUAAUAAUUUAAAAUAAAACUCAAUGACGCAUCUCACACAUCAAAAUAUUCUCAAAUCUAUAAUUAUAAGCGAUAUUUAAUUAUCAAAUAUAACUUGUAAAUAAUAUCUCAACCCGAAAUACUCGCUAAAACAUUCUCAAUGCCAAGAUCGAUAAUCCACAAAUAAAUGAGAAAAUUAUAAAUAGAGAACUACCGAAAAUCCCAUUUUCGGUAAUCUUUUAUAAAUCUCAAAGUCAACAAAUAAAAACGAUAAUAAUUAUAUCCAGAAGGAUAAUUCCCAUGCCAACUCUAAAAUCAAAGAAAUAAUAAGCCAAACUUUCUUACUUUCUUGAGAACGAUAAUUAUAGAAAAGAUAUUUAUAAAGCGAUAGGCGCAUGCAAUUUAUUCAAAAUAAAAGUCCACUCACAAUAUUAAGCCUAAGUUUUUGUAACACCCUAACAAGAUUGAAUUGGACCAAUUCUUUUUGAGGGAUUACUCAC